UCAUCUGGCCUCCUGUUCCAGUGCUUCCAGGGGAUCCACGUUCAGAAGCUGACUCUGCAGGCAAGACCGACGUUAUUUUCCUGGUGGCUGUGUUCAAAACCACCCAAAGGGUUUGAGAAAUACUUUAAGAGGAGUGGAAGGAACACAAACUGAGAAACAUCAACAGCACCAAAAAAAGAGACUGGUGAACUAGAGAAUGCUGAGUCUGGAGGAGACGGAGGCAGGAGAGGAGGGAAGCAGGAUAACGUUGCCUGGUGGAGGCGGAUGCAGAAGGGGGGACUUCCCCUGGGAUGACGAGGAUUUCCGCAGUCUGGCCCUUUUGGGGGCAGGCGUUGCCAUGGGAUUUUUCUACCUCUAUUUUCGAGAUCCUGGAAGAGAAAUCACGUGGAAGCACUUUGUACAGUAUUACCUGGCCAGAGGUCUGGUGGACCGGCUGGAAGUCGUGAACAAACAAUCUGUGCGUGUUAUUCCUGCCCCUGGGACCUCUUCUGAAGUGAGGGGUGAAUUUAAGGCUGAGUAUUGCAGACAUAAGUUUAUUUCGUGUAAAAAUGUAGUUUUCUAUUUUUUUCAGUAAAAUACUCCCUUAGUAUCCAUC
rnacentral:lncRNA from 1 species